GAAAGAAAUCAUAAUAUAUUGGUUAUGAUUGAAGGAAGUUCACUUGGGGAAAUUGAUAGUCUUCGACACCAUUAUUGUCCUCCUGUUUCAAGGUUAGUUUUAUGCCUAGUAUCCCCGUACAAUCAAGUGUGUGAAGUGUUCAAGAGAGAGCUUAGUAUGACACUGGAUAAG